rnacentral:rRNA from 1 species
CGUACAUCCAGGGAACUUAGCAGAGAUGCUUUGGUGCCUUCGGGAACUCUGAGACAGGUGCUGCAUGGCUGUCGUCAGCUCGUGUUGUGAAAUGUUGGGUUAAGUCCCGCAACGAGCGCAACCCUUAUCCUUUGUUGCCAGCGGCUCGGCCGGGAACUCAAAGGAGACUGCCGGUGAUAAACCGGAGGAAGGUGGGGAUGACGUCAAGUCAUCAUGGCCCUUACGGCCAGGGCUACACACGUGCUACAAUGGCGCAUACAAAGAGAAGCGACCUCGCGAGAGCAAGCGGACCUCAUAAAGUGCGUCGUAGUCCGGAUUGGAGUCUGCAACUCGACUCCAUGAAGUCGGAAUCGCUAGUAAUCGUAGAUCAGAAUGCUACGGUGAAUACGUUCCCGGGCCUUGUACACACCGCCCGUCACACCAUGGGAGUGGGUUGCAAAAGAAGUAGGUAGCUUAACCUUCGGGAGGGCGCUUACCACUUUGUGAUUCAUGACUGGGGUGAAGUCGUAACAAGGUAAGCGUAGUGCU